CCUACGGGAGGCAGCAGUGAGGAAUAUUGGUCAAUGGACGCAAGCCUGAACCAGCCAUGCCGCGUGCAGGAAGACGGCUCUAUGAGUUGUAAACUGCUUUUGUACGAGGGUAAACGCAGAUACGCGUAUCUGUCUGAAUGUAUCGUACGAAUAAGGAUCGGCUAACUCCGUGCCAGCAGCCGCGGUAAUACGGAGGGUUCGAGCGUUAUCCGGAUUUAUUGGGUUUAACGGGUGCGUAGGCGGUCGGAUAAGUUAGAGGUGAAAUGCCGAGGCUCAACUUCGGAAUUGCCUCUGAUACUGUUCGGCUAGAGUGUAGUAGAGGUAGGCGGAAUUCAUGGUGUAGCGGUGAAAUGCUUAGAGAUCAUACAGAACACCGAUUGCGAAGGCAGCUUACCAAGCUACUACUGACGUUGAGGCACGAAAGCGUGGGGAGCAAACAGGAUUAGAUACCCGGGUAGUC
rnacentral:rRNA from 1 species